rnacentral:rRNA from 1 species
AUCGGAUGAGAAGAGCUUGCUCUUCGAUUCAGCGGCGGACGGGUGAGUAAUGCCUAGGAAUCUGCCUGGUAGUGGGGGACAACGUUUCGAAAGGAACGCUAAUACCGCAUACGUCCUACGGGAGAAAGCAGGGGACCUUCGGGCCUUGCGCUAUCAGAUGAGCCUAGGUCGGAUUAGCUAGUUGGUGAGGUAAUGGCUCACCAAGGCGACGAUCCGUAACUGGUCUGAGAGGAUGAUCAGUCACACUGGAACUGAGACACGGUCCAGACUCCUACGGGAGGCAGCAGUGGGGAAUAUUGGACAAUGGGCGAAAGCCUGAUCCAGCCAUGCCGCGUGUGUGAAGAAGGUCUUCGGAUUGUAAAGCACUUUAAGUUGGGAGGAAGGGUUGUAGAUUAAUACUCUGCAAUUUUGACGUUACCGACAGAAUAAGCACCGGCUAACUCUGUGCCAGCAGCCGCGGUAAUACAGAGGGUGCAAGCGUUAAUCGGAAUUACUGGGCGUAAAGCGCGCGUAGGUGGUUCGUUAAGUUGGAUGUGAAAUCCCCGGGCUCAACCUGGGAACUGCAUUCAAAACUGUCGAGCUAGAGUAUGGUAGAGGGUGGUGGAAUUUCCUGUGUAGCGGUGAAAUGCGUAGAUAUAGGAAGGAACACCAGUGGCGAAGGCGACCACCUGGACUGAUACUGACACUGAGGUGCGAAAGCGUGGGGAGCAAACAGGAUUAGAUACCCUGGUAGUCCACGCCGUAAACGAUGUCAACUAGCCGUUGGGAGCCUUGAGCUCUUAGUGGCGCAGCUAACGCAUUAAGUCGACCGCCUGGGGAGUACGGCCGCAAGGUUAAAACUCAAAUGAAUUGACGGGGGCCCGCACAAGCGGUGGAGCAUGUGGUUUAAUUCGAUGCAACGCGAAGAACCUUACCUACUCUUGACAUCCACGGAAUUUGGCAGAGAUGCCUUAGUGCCUUCGGGAACCGUGAGACAGGUGCUGCAUGGCUGUCGUCAGCUCGUGUUGUGAAAUGUU